rnacentral:rRNA from 1 species
AUUGAACGCUGGCGGCAGGCCUAACACAUGCAAGUCGAGCGGAUGAAGGGAGCUUGCUCCUGGAUUCAGCGGCGGACGGGUGAGUAAUGCCUAGGAAUCUGCCUGGUAGUGGGGGAUAACGUCCGGAAACGGGCGCUAAUACCGCAUACGUCCUGAGGGGGAAAGUGGGGGAUCUUCGGACCUCACGCUAUCAGAUGAGCCUAGGUCGGAUUAGCUAGUUGGUGGGGUAAAGGCCUACCAAGGCGACGAUCCGUAACUGGUCUGAGAGGAUGAUCAGUCACACUGGAACUGAGACACGGUCCAGACUCCUACGCGAGGCAGCAGUGGGGAAUAUUGGACAAUGGGCGAAAGCCUGAUCCAGCCAUGCCGCGUGUGUGAAGAAGGUCUUCGGAUUGUAAAGCACUUUAAGUUGGGAGGAAGGGCAGUAAGUUAAUACCUUGCUGUUUUGACGUUACCAACAGAAUAAGCACCGGCUAACUUCGUG